CCCUCGGCCAGGAUAGUGUCCUGCUGCACUCCACCGAUCCGAUUGAAGAAGAUGGCUCUGUGCCCGCCUUCCACGGUGAACACAGAUUCGCGCACACCGUAGGCCACGGCGCCGGCCCCCAGCAACAGCUUCAGGGCCGUGCCCAUGCCCCGGGGCCCGGCGGGCAGCCGUCCCGCCAAGUCCUUCAAGUUCUGGGCCAUGUCUGAUCUUGAGGCCGGCGGCACUGGAGGUCAGAAGGGGGUGCCGGCCCGCCUCUACCCCGCUCCGGCUUAGGUACUGCACCC
rnacentral:lncRNA from 1 species